GGACUUAUAGCUCAGUUGGUUAGAGCGUCCGUCUGAUAAGCGGGAGGUCGAUGGUUCAAGUCCAUCUAGGUCCACCA
rnacentral:tRNA from 2 species